AAAGGGAAGGAUGGAAGAUUUGCUACUAUUCAUCGAUGUGUGUUUUGGCAACACUGGAUCUGAAACCUGGUGAAAGAUCAACUUCAGGAAGAGAAGCCUGGACAUGAAUGACUUCCUCCUGUGGACACAUUUGAAAGGUUCAGAAGAUUUUCUAGUGUUGAACUGCAAGUGAAUAAACUACCUAAGAAACAACCAAAACCAACCACAUAUGCUUGGCUGGAAGAUUAUCCUUUUGCCGUGUAAACAAGCACUGAGCUCUCUGAAGAGAUUUCUCAUCUGGGCUGUUUUGCUGAUGGUGAAACUGAUGCCCUGGAUUAUUAUGGUUGAGACAUGAGAUGCCCUUCUGUCAGAGA